rnacentral:rRNA from 1 species
AUGAACGCUAGCGACAGGCUUAACACAUGCAAGUCGAGGGGCAGCACAGGUAGCAAUACCGGGUGGCGACCGGCGCACGGGUGAGUAACGCGUAUGCAACUUACCUAUCAGAGGGGGAUAACCCGGCGAAAGUCGGACUAAUACCGCAUGAAGCAGGGGCCCCGCAUGGGGAUAUUUGCUAAAGAUUCAUCGCUGAUAGAUAGGCAUGCGUUCCAUUAGGCAGUUGGCGGGGUAACGGCCCACCAAACCGACGAUGGAUAGGGGUUCUGAGAGGAAGGUCCCCCACAUUGGUACUGAGACACGGACCAAACUCCUACGGGAGGCAGCAGUGAGGAAUAUUGGUCAAUGGGCGUAAGCCUGAACCAGCCAAGUCGCGUGAGGGAUGAAGGUUCUAUGGAUCGUAAACCUCUUUUAUAAGGGAAUAAAGUGCGGGACGUGUCCCGUUUUGUAUGUACCUUAUGAAUAAGGAUCGGCUAACUCCGUGCCAGCAGCCGCGGUAAUACGGAGGAUCCGAGCGUUAUCCGGAUUUAUUGGGUUUAAAGGGUGCGUAGGCGGCCUUUUAAGUCGGCGGUGAAAGUCUGUGGCUCAACCAUAGAAUUGCCGUUGAAACUGGGGGGCUUGAGUAUGUUUGAGGCAGGCGGAAUGCGUGGUGUAGCGGUGAAAUGCAUAGAUAUCACGCAGAACCCCGAUUGCGAAGGCAGCCUGCCAAGCCAUGACUGACGCUGAUGCACGAAAGCGUGGGGAUCAAACAGGAUUAGAUACCCUGGUAGUCCACGCAGUAAACGAUGAUCACUAGCUGUUUGCGAUACACUGUAAGCGGCACAGCGAAAGCGUUAAGUGAUCCACCUGGGGAGUACGCCGGCAACGGUGAAACUCAAAGGAAUUGACGGGGGCCCGCACAAGCGGAGGAACAUGUGGUUUAAUUCGAUGAUACGCGAGGAACCUUACCCGGGUUUGAACGCAUUCGGACCGAGGUGGAAACACCUUUUCUAGCAAUAGCCGUUUGCGAGGUGCUGCAUGGUUGUCGUCAGCUCGUGCCGUGAGGUGUCGGCUUAAGUGCCAUAACGAGCGCAACCCUUGCCACUAGUUACUAACAGGUGAUGCUGAGGACUCUGGUGGGACUGCCAGCGUAAGCUGCGAGGAAGGCGGGGAUGACGUCAAAUCAGCACGGCCCUUACAUCCGGGGCGACACACGUGUUACAAUGGCGUGGACAAAGGGAGGCCACCUGGCGACAGGGAGCGAAUCCCCAAACCACGUCUCAGUUCGGAUCGGAGUCUGCAACCCGACUCCGUGAAGCUGGAUUCGCUAGUAAUCGCGCAUCAGCCAUGGCGCGGUGAAUACGUUCCCGGGCCUUGUACACACCGCCCGUCAAGCCAUGGGAGCCGGGGGUACCUGAAGUCCGUAACCGCGAGGAUCGGCCUAGGGUAAAACUGGUGACUGGGGCU